rnacentral:rRNA from 1 species
AACGAACGCUGGCGGCGCGCUUAACACAUGCAAGUCGAACGAGAAGGCGUAGCAAUACGCUUGUACAGUGGCGAACGGGUGAGGAAUACAUGGGUAACCUACCCUCGAGUGGGGGAUAACCCGCCGAAAGGCGGGCUAAUACCGCGUACGCUUCCGAUCUUGCGGGAUUGGAAGGAAAGCUGUCCCUUGGGGAUGGCGCUCAAGGAUGGGCUCAUGUCCUAUCAGCUUGUUGGUAGGGUAACGGCCUACCAAGGCAUCGACGGGUAGCUGGUCUGAGAGGACGAUCAGCCACACUGGCACUGCGACACGGGCCAGACUCCUACGGGAGGCAGCAGUGAGGAAUAUUGCGCAAUGGGCGAAAGCCUGACGCAGCGACGCCGCGUGGGGGAUGAAGGUCUUCGGAUUGUAAACCCCUUUCGGGAGGGAAGACGGCCUUAGACAACUAAGGCGGACGGUACCUCCAGAAGCAGCCACGGCUAACUUCGUGCCAGCAGCCGCAGU